CGAAAGCCUGACGGAGCAACGCCGCGUGAGGGAUGAAGGCCUCUGGGCUGGAAACCUCUUUUAUCAAGGAAGAAGAUCUGACGGUACUUGAUGAAUAAGCCACGGCUAAUUCCGUGCCAGCAGCCGCGGUAAUACGGGAGUGGCAAGCGUUAUCCGGAAUUAUUGGGCGUAAAGCGUCCGCAGGCGGUUUUGUAAGUCUGUCGUUAAAGCGCGGAGCUUAACUCCAUUUAAGCGAUGGAAACUGCAAGACUAGAGUGUGGUAGGGGCAGAGGGAAUUCCCGGUGUAGCGGUGAAAUGCGUAGAUAUCGGGAAGAACACCAGUGGCGAAGGCGCUCUGCUGGGCCAUAACUGACGCUCAUGGACGAAAGCCAGGGGAGCG
rnacentral:rRNA from 1 species